rnacentral:sRNA from 1 species
UUAUCCUGGGACAACGAGUUGUCGCCCA